UACGUAGGGUGCGAGCGUUAAUCGGAAUUACUGGGCGUAAAGUGUGCGCAGGCGGCUUCGCAAGUCGAGUGUGAAAUCCCCGAGCUUAACUUGGGAAUUGCGCUCGAAACUACGGAGCUGGAGUGUGGCAGAGGAAGGUGGAAUUCCACGUGUAGCGGUGAAAUGCGUAGAGAUUUGGAGGAACACCAGUGGCGAAGGCGGCUUUCUGGUCUGUAACUGACGCUGAGGCGCGAAAGCGUGGGGAGCAAACAGG
rnacentral:rRNA from 1 species